rnacentral:tRNA from 1 species
GAGGGAUGGCAGAAAUACAAUGCUUUAGGCCUAAGACCUAACAAUGAGGCUUAACUCUCCCUCC